UUUUCGGGAAAAUUCGAAAGA
rnacentral:piRNA from 1 species